rnacentral:rRNA from 1 species
AUUGAACGCUGGCGGCAGGCUUAACACAUGCAAGUCGAGCGGGGGGAGGUAGCUUGCUACCGGACCUAGCGGCGGACGGGUGAGUAAUGCUUAGGAAUCUGCCUAUUAGUGGGGGACAACAUCUCGAAAGGGAUGCUAAUACCGCAUACGUCCUACGGGAGAAAGCAGGGGAUCUUCGGACCUUGCGCUAAUAGAUGAGCCUAAGACGGAUUAGCUAGUUGGUGGGGUAAAGGCCUACCAAGGCGACGAUCUGUAGCGGGUCUGAGAGGAUGAUCCGCCAAACGAGGACUGAGCCACGGCCCAGACUCCUACGGGAGGCAGCAGUGGGGAAUAUUGGACAAUGGGGGGAACCCUGAUCCAGCCAUGCCGCGUGUGUGAAGAAGGCCUUAUGGUUGUAAAGCACUUUAAGCGAGGAGGAGGCUACUCUAGUUAAUACCUAGGGAUAGUGGACGUUACUCGCAGAGUAAGCACCGGCUAACUCUGUGCCAGCCGCCGCCGUAA